UACGGGGGGAGCAAGCGUUGUUCGGAUUUACUGGGCGUAAAGGGCGCGUAGGCGGCCAGCACAAGUCAGUUGUGAAAUCUCCGGGCUUAACUCGGAAAGGUCAACUGAUACUGUGCGGCUAGAGUGCGGAAGGGGCAACUGGAAUUCUCGGUGUAGCGGUGAAAUGCGUAGAUAUCGAGAGGAACACCUGCGGCGAAGGCGGGUUGCUGGGCCGAACACGUGACGCUGGAUGCGCGAAAGCCAGGGAGCGAACGGGAUUAGA
rnacentral:rRNA from 1 species